GACGAAGGGCGUGGGUGUUAUUCGUUUUGAUUGGGUGUAAAGGGUACGUAGGUGGCUUUCCAGUGGUUUGGCUAAAAACGCGGGGUAUUCCCAUGCGCUAGCCUUUGAAAAGAAGAGCUUGUGUUGUCGAUAGGUAGGGGCAAAUUCUUAAGUCAGGGGUAAAAUCCAUCGAUAUGAGAAUGAACGCUAGCUGGCGAAGGCGCCUUUCCAGUGACAACAGACGCUAAGGUACGGAAGCUCAGGGAGCAAACAGG
rnacentral:rRNA from 1 species